rnacentral:rRNA from 1 species
ACGGGUGAGUAAUACAUCGGAACGUAUCCUGGAGUGGGGGAUAGCCCGACGAAAGCCGGAUUAAUACCGCAUACGCUCUGAGGAGGAAAGCGGGGGACCUUCGGGCCUCGCGCUCAAGGGGCGGCCGAUGGCGGAUUAGGUAGUUGGUGGGGUAAAGGCCUACCAAGCCGACGAUCCGUAGCUGGUCUGAGAGGACGACCAGCCACACUGGGACUGAGACACGGCCCAGACUCCUACGGGAGGCAGCAGUGGGGAAUUUUGGACAAUGGGGGCAACCCUGAUCCAGCAAUGCCGCGUGUGUGAAGAAGGCCUUCGGGUUGUAAAGCACUUUUGUCCGGAAAGAAAUCAUCGGGGCCAAUACCCCUGGUGGAUGACGGUACCGGAAGAAUAAGCACCGGCUAACUACGUGCCAGCAGCCGCGGUAAUACGUAGGGUGCGAGCGUUAAUCGGAAUUACUGGGCGUAAAGCGUGCGCAGGCGGUGCUGUAAGACCGAUGUGAAAUCCCCGGGCUUAACCUGGGAACUGCAUUGGUGACUGCAGCGCUGGAGUAUGGCAGAGGGGGGUGGAAUUCCACGU